rnacentral:rRNA from 4 species
AGUCGAGGGGUAUAGUUCUUCGGAAUUAGAGACCGGCGCACGGGUGCGUAACGCGUAUGCAAUCUACCUUUUACAGAGGGAUAGCCCAGAGAAAUUUGGAUUAAUACCUCAUAGUAUAAUGACUUGGCAUCAAGACAUUAUUAAAGUCACAACGGUAAAAGAUGAGCAUGCGUCCCAUUAGCUAGUUGGUAAGGUAACGGCUUACCAAGGCUACGAUGGGUAGGGGUCCUGAGAGGGAGAUCCCCCACACUGGUACUGAGACACGGACCAGACUCCUACGGGAGGCAGCAGUGAGGAAUAUUGGACAAUGGGCGCAAGCCUGAUCCAGCCAUGCCGCGUGCAGGAUGACGGUCCUAUGGAUUGUAAACUGCUUUUAUACGAGAAGAAACACUACUUCGUGAAGUAGCUUGACGGUAUCGUAAGAAUAAGGAUCGGCUAACUCCGUGCCAGCAGCCGCGGUAAUACGGAGGAUCCAAGCGUUAUCCGGAAUCAUUGGGUUUAAAGGGUCCGUAGGCGGUUUAGUAAGUCAGUGGUGAAAGCCCAUCGCUCAACGGUGGAACGGCCAUUGAUACUGCUGAACUUGAAUUAUUAGGAAGUAACUAGAAUAUGUAGUGUAGCGGUGAAAUGCUUAGAGAUUACAUGGAAUACCAAUUGCGAAGGCAGGUUACUACUAAUUGAUUGACGCUGAUGG